rnacentral:ribozyme from 1 species
AACAAAAAUGAAGACAAGAAAGAAAAACAAGAAGAAGAAGAAGAAGAAGAAGAAGAAGGCGUUCUCCGACUCUGAUUCCGACCUUGAGUCUUCCAUUGUUUCAGGUGACUCCUUCUCCAAUUUCCUUGUC